AUUAUCCUGCGUUAACCGGGGGAGCGCAGCUAGGUGGGCGAAGUACUGGCACAAUGAGGCGGGGCAAGCCUGAUGCAGUCCAUUAGACCGCUGUGUAUGAAAGAAACGGUCCUUCCGGGGUUUGUAAAGUACUUUUCAGUCGGGGGAGGAUAGGGGAGUAAAAGUUAAUACCUUUGCUUCAUUGACGUUACCCCGCAGAAGAAGCACCGGCUAACUCCGUGCCAGCAGCCGCGGUAAUACCGGAGGGUGCAAGCGUUAAUCGGAAUUACUGGGCGUAAAGCGCACGCAGGCGGUUUGUUAAGUCAGAUGUGAAAUCCCCGGGCUCAACCUGGGAACUGCAUCUGAUACUGGCAAGCUUGAGUCUCGUAGAGGGGGGUAGAAUUCCAGGUGUAGCGGUGAAAUGCGUAGAGAUCUGGAGGAAUACCGGUGGCGAAGGCGGCCCCCUGGACGAAGACUGACGCUCAGGUGCGAAAGCGUGGGGAGCAAACAGGAUUAGAUACCCUGGUAGUCCACGCCGUAAACGAUGUCGACUUGGAGGUUGUGCCCUUGAGGCGUGGCUUCCGGAGCUAACGCGUUAAGUCGACCGCCUGGGGAGUACGGCCGCAAGGUUAAAACUCAAAUGAAUUGACGGGGGCCCGCACAAGCGGUGGAGCAUGUGGUUUAAUUCGAUGCAACGCGAAGAACCUUACCUGGUCUUGACAUCCACGGAAGUUUUCAGAGAUGAGAAUGUGCCUUCGGGAACCGUGAGACAGGUGCUGCAUGGCUGUCGUCAGCUCGUGUUGUGAAAUGUUGGGUUAAGUCCCGCAACGAGCGCAACCCUUAUCCUUUGUUGCCAGCGGUCCGGCCGGGAACUCAAAGGAGACUGCCAGUGAUAAACUGUGAGGAAGGUGGGGGAUGACGUCAAGUCAUCAUGGCCCUUACGACCAGGGCUACACACGUGCUACAAUGGCGCAUACUAAAGAGAAGCGACCCUCGCGUAGAGCAAGCUGGACCUCAUAAAAGUUGCGUUCGUUAGUUCCGGGAUUGCAGUUCUUGCAGACUUCGAACUCCAUGAACGUGCGGAAUCGCUAGUAAUCGUGGAUCAGAAUGUCAUCGUC
rnacentral:rRNA from 1 species